rnacentral:lncRNA from 1 species
UCAGGCUAUUCAUUCCUAGUGAGGAUGUGGAACUGGGCACUUGAUAAUCACAAUUGAGUAUAGAAUAUUCUUUAACUAAACAGAUAAUACUAGACAGUGACGUUUACAUGAGCCACUAACAAAUACAAUCUAAAAUACUUAAAAUCUGAGUGCACAGGCUAACAGUUCAAACAAAUGUUCCAAAAUACUGCCCGUAUCAGCUCAAUCUACUGCGAAAAUUGAAUUCUUCAGCAACUCGAAAGAGCAAAGUUACUAUGGCAGUAACAAGACAGACAAAACAUGGACAAAAGAGGGAAAAUAGAGCAACUAUGAGAAUACACAAUCAGCGAAACAAACUGGCCUCAACACCCCUUUAAACCAAGGCCAAAUAAAGUCAAACCCGUCAAGGAUGAACCAAACAUUGUCAUGGAACCCAAGUUAAAUCAGCUCAUGACUUGAACAAGUGAGGUCUACAUUAGAUGAUGCUUCAUAACAAAUACAAAUCACUAGCCUUUGCCAUUUGUAACAUGUCCUGAUAAGUGCAACUGAAUGAGCCACAAAGCAGCAGUAAAAAAAACUAAUUGGGUGACAAUUUCUUGAACUCGUAUCGAGUUAUAGAUGUAAAAGAAAUUAUGCAAUCGUCACUGAAUCGAUAAACAUAUGCAACACCUUAUCUAUCAACCACAGGCUCGAUCAAGCCUCCAUCAUUCCAACCAAAGUCAAACAAUUCCGUCCUCCAUCACUGUGUUAGAUGAAGACCAGAUCAUGCCUACAACAUCCAAUCGAUACAUAGCUAAGAAGUAAAACUGAAAAUGAAGAUAUAUAUCACAUUCUGAAAUUAAUCACGAUCUAAUCAUACCAUGUCAGGAAAUAAAUAGAAUACACUUUCAGAGAACUCAUUUAAGAUGUACACAGCCAAACCAAGCUAGAAAUGUGUAGGAAUGACAAAAAAAUACACUACGACCAGCAGUCACCAAGAUUCAAAUAGUUCUAAACCAGCUGAACUCAAAUUCUCAAUACACUUCUUAAUCAGCCACCAAAAUAGGCUACAUAGGACUAGAAAUAAACCUGAAUCGACAAGCACCUGCGAUUAAAUUUGCUCAAAUGUUGAAUACAAGUGAAAUCCAAUAACAAAUAUCAGCAACCAACAGCAGAGAUGAGUAAGAAUCAGAAGCUCGGACAGCGACGAACUUAACUAUUUUUAAUCGCCUCCAUAUUAAACGAACUCCAUCACAAGCGAGAUUAACCCAGAGAUGAUAUGCAAAGAAAUCAAUUUUUUUUUGUUUUUUCUCCUCUGAUUCUAACAAAAACAGACAAAAUUAAGCAUAAAAAGAAACUUGACUCAUUUUUUUGAGUAUUUUUCUGUAUUUUCCACGAGAAGAAACAAGGAAGAUGAGAAUCGAUCCCUUUUCUCUGAAAUCCUUUUUUUUAGCCCACCCCCUCAAAAUCCAUCUAAAAUUCCCUUUUGAGAACGAAUUCCUGAUGAAUGUGGGGCUUGGAUUGAGUGAAAUCAAUCCAAUGCCUCACACUCAUCCAGCAAAUCGUUCCCAGAAGCUUCCAAUCGCGUGCCUUAUCUCCAAAUCGAGCGAGUGAAGGGAAUGAGAAUAUUCGCAUCAGAAACGGAUAGAAAUGGUGAUGAGGAGAGAAUGAGGAACGCGUGAGGAGAGAUUUGAGACUCACUCGCUUGGUUUCGGGCUAAAUUGAGGCUUGGUUCAUGUUCUUCUUUGGAGAAGAAGAACAGUCGCCUGGGUCAGUGGUGAGAUUAGGGCUUUGCUCGUCCUUUUGCGUCUGAUAUUUG